rnacentral:rRNA from 1 species
UACGGAGGGUGCAAGCAUUAAUCGGAUUUACUGGGCGUAAAGGGUGCGUAGGCGGAUCAGCAAGUCAGAUGUGAAAUUCCGGUACUUAAUACCGGAACUGCAUUUGAAACUACUGGUCUUGAGGGCAGAAGGAGAGAACGGAAUUCCAUAUGUAGCGGUGAAAUGCGUAGAUAUAUGGAAGAACACCUGUGGCGAAGGCGGUUCUCUAUUUUGUUUCUGACGCUGAGGCACGAGAGCGUGGGGAGCAAACAGG